rnacentral:rRNA from 1 species
GUGAACGCUGGCGGCGUGGAUAAGGCAUGCAAGUCGAAUGGGUUUAGACCCAUGGCAGACGAGGUAGUAAUACGUAGGUACGUACCCCAGAGUCGGGCAUAACCAGUCGAAAGAUUGGAUAAUUCCCGAUAGUCUCGCGAGAGUAAAGAUUUAUCGCUUUGGGAGCGGCCUGCGGAGUAUCAGCUAGUUGGUAGGGUAAUGGCCUACCAAGGCUAUGACGCUUAGGGGAGCUGAGAGGCUGACCCCCACCGAUAGCACUGAGACACGGGCUAUACAUCUACGGAUGGCCGCAGUCGAGAAUCUUCGGCAAUGGACGCAAGUCUGACCGAGCGACGCCGCGUGAUGGACGAAGUCCUUCGGGACGUAAACAUCUUUUAUGAGGGAGGAAGUUUAUUGACGUUACCUCAUGAAUAAGUAGCUUCUAAACUCGUAGCCAGCAGAAGCGGUAAUACGAGUGCUACAAGCGUUAUCCGGAAUCACUGGGCGUAAAGGGUGUGUAGGUGGUUGUAUUAGUCCCUUGUUAAAUCAUGGCGCUUAACGCCAUACGGGCAGGGGAAACGGUACAACUAGAGGGUGUGAGAGGUGAAUGGAACUCAUGGUGUAGGGGUGAAAUCCGUUGACAUCAUGGGGAACACCAAAUGCGAAGGCAAUUCACUGGCGCAUUCCUGACACUGAGACACGAAAGCGUGGGGAUCGAACGGGAUUAGAUACCCCGGUAGUCCACGCCCUAAACGAUGUCCCCUGGCUUUUUGGAGUAUCGACCCUCUAAGAGGCGAAGCUAACGCGUUAAGGGGACCGCCUGGGUAGUACGGCCGCAAGGCUAAAACUCAAAGGAAUAGACGGGGGCUCGCACAAGCGGUGGAUCAUGUGGCUUAAUUCGUCGGUAAGCGAAAAACCUUACCAGGGUUAGAAAUCCAAUCGAAUACUAGAGGAAACUUUAGUAGUCCUCACGGACGGUUGGACAGGUGAUGCACGGUCGUCGUCAGUUCGUGGCUUGAGUUGUUCCCUUCAGUGGGGAAACGAACGCAACCCUCGUUGCCUGUUACAAGUGUCAGGCGAGACUGCUCCCUCACGGGAGAGGAAGGUGAGGAUGACGCCAGAUCAGCAUGUCCCUCUGAUACCCUGGGCUGCACACAGUGAUACAAUGCUAUCGACAACAGGACGCAAUGUCGUAAGACGGAGCAAACCCUUAUAAACGAUAGCUCAAUUCGGAUUGAGGUCUGCAACUCGACCUCAUGAAGCCGGAAUCGCUAGUAAUCGCAGGUCAGCACACUGCGGUGAAUACGUUCUCGAGCCUUGUACUCACCGCCCGUCAACUCAAGGGAGCCGGAAGUGCCCGAAGCCCUCGCUCGUCGAGGUCUACGGUAAGUUCGGUGAUAGGGAGU